rnacentral:other from 1 species
GUAGCGCCCAGCUCUCACGCUGGGCGAGGAUUGAAAC